rnacentral:rRNA from 1 species
UACACGCUGUGACUAGCAUAUCAAUAAGCGGAGGAAAAGAAACUAACAAGGAUUCCCCUAGUAACGGCGAGUGAAGCGGGAAGAGCUCAAAUUUGAAAUCUUAAAGGGUUUCCCUUUACGAAUUGUAGUUUAAAGAAGUGUUUUCUGUUGAGGUUUUGGUAAAAGUUCUUUGGAAUAGGACAUCAUAGAGGGUGAGAAUCCCGUAUUUGACCCUUACUUUCAACUUUGUGAUACACUUUCAAAGAGUCGGAUUGUUUGGGAAUGCAGUCCAAAAUGGGUGGUAAAUUUCAUCUAAAGCUAAAUAUUGGCGAGAGACCGAUAGCGAACAAGUACCGUGAGGGAAAGAUGAAAAGAACUUUGAGAAGAGAGUUAAACAGUACGUGAAAUUGUCAAAAGGGAAGCGUUUGACACCAGUGUUGUUUUUCUGAAAAUCAAUUAAAGAACUGUUUAUGCUAAGUUGUUUAGACUUUAUCAGCUAACUGUUUAGUUUUGAGCUUUUCUUUAAUGCACUUUUCAGUUAACAAGUCAACAUCAAUUUCUUUUGCUGUAAAAAAGCUUGAGGAAGGUGGCUUGAGAUUCGUCUUAAGUGUUUAUAGCCUCUUGCCUAUGCAGUCGGAGAGAUUGAGGUCUGCAGCGUAGAUCCUUCGGGGCUAAAUGCAUUUGUGCUAAGUUAUAGCAUUUUAUAGACAACUUGUUGACUAUGAUUUGUCUUGUAGCUUACUCGCUUAUGUUAUUUUACCUACGCUUAGGAUGUUGACACACGCGCGUGCUCGACUCUAUACAUGACUCUGUGCAUAUCAAUAAGCGGAGGAAAAGGCUGCGGAACUGAACGACCGCUACCCACGCUUAGGAUGUUGACACACGCGCGUGCUCGACUCUAUACAUGACUCUGCGCAUAUCAAUAAGCGGGGAAAAGUCAACUACCUACGCUUAGGAUGUUGAAGAUAUGCGCGACACG